CCUACGGGGGGCAGCAGUGAGGAAUAUUGGUCAAUGGGCGGAAGCCUGAACCAGCCAAGUAGCGUGCAGGAUGACGGCCCUACGGGUUGUAAACUGCUUUUAUACGGGAAUAACGCGCCUUACGUGUAGGGCUUUGCAUGUACCUUAUGAAUAAGGACCGGCUAAUUCCGUGCCAGCAGCCGCGGUAAUACGGAAGGUCCGGGCGUUAUCCGGAUUUAUUGGGGUUAAGGGGAGCGUAGGCCGGAUGUCAAGCUUGAUGUGAAAUGUCCGGGCUCAACCCGGGAAUUGCAGUGGGAACUGGCAUGCUUGAGUACGGGGAAGGCAGGCGGAAUUCGUGGUGUAGCGGUGAAAUGCUUAGAUAUGACGAAGAACCCCGAUUGCGAAGGCAGCUUGCUACAGCGGAACUGACGCUGAUGCUCGAAAGCGCGGGUAUCGAACAGGAUUAGAUACCCGGGUAGUC
rnacentral:rRNA from 1 species